UCUGCCUGGGAUUUCCUUGU
rnacentral:miRNA from 1 species